rnacentral:rRNA from 1 species
GAUGAACGCUGGCGGCGUGCCUAAUACAUGCAAGUCGAGCGAACAGACGAGGAGCUUGCUCCUCUGACGUUAGCGGCGGACGGGUGAGUAACACGUGGAUAACCUACCUAUAAGACUGGGAUAACUUCGGGAAACCGGAGCUAAUACCGGAUAAUAUAUUUAACCGCAUGGUUCAAUAGUGAAAGACGGUUUUGCUGUCACUUAUAGAUGGAUCCGCGCCGCAUUAGCUAGUUGUUAAGGUAACGGCUUACCAAGGCAACGAUGCGUAGCCGACCUGAGAGGGUGAUCGGCCACACUGGAACUGAGACACGGUACAGACUCCUACGGGAGGCAGCAGUAGGGAAUCUUCCGCAAUGGGCGAAAGCCUGACGGAGCAACGCCGCGUGAGUGAUGAAGGUCUUCGGAUCGUAAAACUCUGUUAUUAGGGAAGAAAAAAUGUGUAAGUAAAUAUGAACGUCUUGACGGUAACUAAUAAGAAAGCCACGGCUAACUACGUG